CCGUCGUCAGUUCGUACUGUGAAGCAUCCUGUUAAGUCAGGCAACGAGCGAGACCCACGCCCACAGUUGCCAGCGUACUCUCUGGAGUGACGGGUACACUGUCGGGGACCGCCGCUAGCGUAAAGCGGAGGAAGGAAUGGGCAACGGUAGGUCAGUAUGCCCCGAAUAUCCCGGGCUACACGCGAGCUACAAUGGUUGGUACAAUGGGUAUCUACCCCGAAAGGGGACGGGAAUCUCCUAAAACCAAUCUUAGUUCGGAUUGAGGGCUGCAACUCGCCCUCAUGAAGCUGGAAUCCGUAGUAAUCGCGUUUCAACAGAACGCGGUGAAUACGUCCCUGCUCCUU
rnacentral:rRNA from 1 species